CAGCCGCUUCAAAGCAAAGAUCCCGUGCCAUGAAUAUCUGGCCGAUUGCCCUGAAGUGGUGAACGGCGACUACCGAAUCCAGGAGAGAGGUUACGAGGCAAUGAGCAACAUUGUUUGCGAUAGUAAGAUUCUCAAAGACUUUCACGUCGGAUACCAUUGGCUGGAUCAGAAGAAGAUGGACGAAUGCGCAAAGCGAUGUCGCCGGCAGCGGAUCCACGGAAUCCUCGCGUGAUAGUUGACAAUGAAGACUACUGCCGCCUACGCAACAUAGAGAUUGCCUGCUUCGAGCAAGCAUUGAACUCGUCCUGCCCGCUGCCGUUGAAGACGGCCAAGACAGCGCUGACCAGAGUUUUGGAUGCCAUAUCACAACUCGCAGGCUGCCCGUCAUCUGCACACGCUGCCAUGGCUUCUAAGGGAUUUAUUGUUCUCCUGGUUACUCCCGUUAUCCUGAGUUGGUUGAGAACGUGACCAGCCAACUGAAGAACAGAAAAAUGAGCUAAAUUUAGCAUUGGCCACGCCGCAGGUUUUCAAUGGCUCCCUGAAUUUUACCAUCUUUCCAGGAAGCCUGAAACCCGUAGCGCUAUGGCCGUGCUGUUGUAGAGAUUCAGGGUAACACGCAUAGGUUUGAAGCAGUUUCAACACUUCGAUCUGUCAGAUUCGUUCGAGCGAACAAGGCAAGGAGGCUGUCAUUCAUCAUUCGUAUCACAGAUUAAAAAUACUAUCAAAUCACCGCAUACAAAGGACUAGCAUGAUAUGGACUCGAAUAUGCACGUUCCAUGUGGGAUCCAUGGCCGGCUGAAGCUGUGCAGUGGCUUAUAUCACAACCAUUACGUUAUCAUUUGCACAUAACACGAUCAUAUAUUUUCUUUUUUCUUUCUCCCUUGCUGCCCUCCUUCCUCUUAGGGCCUUUCAGUCCUCAAUCAUCUUCCCUAUACAGAGUAGCACGUAGACGCCUUCAUGCGCCGGCAGAGUUCUCUGUUCUUCAAUAAAGAGCUUUCUCUCUCUCUCUCUCUCCGUGACGAACAUGUUCGAUUC